rnacentral:tRNA from 1 species
AGUUUUAUAGUCAAAUAUGAUUUAAAAUUGCAAAUUUUAAGGUAUAGUUAUAUAUAAUUAUUAAGGCUU